GUGCACCAGUCGCGAAACCUCCGCAAUGCGGGAAACCGUGACGGGGUCACCCCGAGUGCCACCCGAUGAGGGUGGCUUUUCCCCGGUCUAAAAAGCCGGGGGCAAUAAGCGGGGGGCAAGUCUGGUGUCAGCCGCCGCGGUAAUACCAGCCCCGCGAGUGGUCGGGACGUUUAUUGGGCCUAAAGCGUCCGUAGCCGGCUCGGUAAGUCCCUCCUUAAAUCCACGGGCUCAACCCGUGGGCUGGGAGGGAUACUGCCGGGCUAGGGGGCGGGAGAGGCCGAGGGUACGUCCCGGGGUAGGGGCGAAAUCCGUUAAGUCCCGGGAGGACCACCAGUGGCGAAGGCGCUCGGCUGGAACGCGCCCGACGGUGAGGGACGAAAGCUGGGGGAGCAAAGGGGAGUAGA
rnacentral:rRNA from 1 species